UGUUAUAAAUUGAUUUGCAUUUUAAUGAGGGAAAUAAGUAUUUGACCCCCUCUCAAUCAGAAAGAUUUCUGCCCCAAGGGGGGCACUUGCCCUGCGACUUGAACAGAAUUGCUAAAGUGUAAACUGUACACUGUAAUCCCAAACAGUUGUACUAGCUCAUAAGUAAUAAGGUCAUAACAGUCAAAUGUCGUUAUGCAGUUGACCAAACUAUAAAGUGUUGAGCUCUGUUGAGAUUUAUGCCACUUUAAUUGAAGAGGGCUCAAUAUUUUAUAGGUAAUUUGUGUGGAACGCUCAAAAAGUUUAGGUAGUGUCAUGACGUUAUCUACGUCGUGACGUUCUGGUGGGUGGGUCAUCUCUCCCUCAGGAAAGCUGAGUCAGCCAUCUUGAAUUUACCUUGAUGCGGGGAUGUUUGUGCCGCCCGUGUGGAUGUGGAACACAGUUUAAUUUGUUUUAAUUUGUUUGCAAUGCUCACUUUUAUGCUGCCCGCUUGAAACCACCACCACCUCCGUUUUUAUCAUUAGUCUUAUUGCCCUCGUUUUCUUAAGCGCCAUCUUAUCAUCACCUCUGAUUUGGUAAGUAACUCUAAUGUUGUUUAAAAAAAAAAUGAAUUUCGAUAGUCUUAAAUGUGGAACUGGGAAUACAUUUGUACAAUGUGCACAGUUAAUAUUUGUUGUAAAUAGUUUAAAAAUCCAAGUAAUUGUAACUUUAGAAGUUGUUAAAUAUGUGACAAAUACGUUACUUCAUCUUACAACAGUGUAACGUUAUCAGCUGUUUCCUAGAUGAACUACAUUUCCCAUAAUGCAUGUUUGCCCGGGACAUUGACGGUGGAGGAAGGUCCAUGAGUUUUCGCUGUUCGCCGGUAAUUCAAGUGCGUACUGCUCAAGUGUGUGGUUGUGAGAUCAUCUCGAAAUCCUUUUAACAGUUCAGGUAGGAUGUAUUAUGAAAUAGUGUUACUAAUGUAAUACAUUGCUAAAACCAAG